rnacentral:lncRNA from 1 species
GGCCCGGAGAGCGCGCCGGGAGAGGGGUUGCAGCCCGUGCGAGUUUGGCUCCAGUGGCCAAAGCAGGGAAGGCGGCCUCGGGGACCUUCUGGGAGCAGAGUCCAGCCAAGGGUUUCCCUCUCUUUCCGCUUCAAGCCCAAGACAGCAGAGCAGUUUGGAACCCGAAGGACUAUAUGGUCCUUUCCCCCUCCCCCACCACUUUUUUCCCCCCUAGAAGAACUUCAAGAUUACAAAUAUCCGUCUCAUUUGAUGCUGAAUUACUCGUGGACAGAUAAGAAAAGAGUUGUGAAUGAUACUGGAUCCAAGUUGUCGGCCCAGCACUGUUGGCAGAGUUUACAUUCAGUUUUGAUUCCUCUAAUUGUUCUUAAUUUCAACAUUGGCUAUUUAGUAUCGCCAGUAAGAUUUUUGCUCUUUUUAAAUCCUGGUUAAAUAAACGCCAGUUAGGAAGUUUCUUUUUCAAAGGAACACGGGUUUCCGAGAUAAACGCUUCUUUUGUAAAGAACAACUUCGUGAGAAACCUCUGCAUCUUCCUGUAAGCAUGCUUAGCUCUUUUUUUCCACAGCGGUUCGCAGCCCCCACCCCCACCCCAACCCCAGCUUGUUGAUAUUGUAAAGCGAUUUAAUUUCCCGGUAACCUUUAUUUAGUAAAACUUCUUUAGCAUUAAGAAAAAACAGCAUUAAUAAAGUUUCUCCCUGAGUUAAAAACAAAAA